rnacentral:lncRNA from 1 species
AUAUAUUUUAAUCAUUGGCUAAUUUCAUACAGAUUCCUGCAAAUAUAGUGAAUUGUAAAUAUAUUUUUUAUGAAGUUCAACUUUUAUAUGUUGUCCCUGUAAAAAUCUUAAUAUUUUCAAAUAUAUUCCUACUGUUAGACUCCGUUAGAAAACUUUAGUUAACCAUACAUAGGUUAAAUGCUUAAUUUUGGUUAAUUUUUUAGAUAGCUUGAUAUUUUUAUCUCUCUUAUAUUAUACUGUUGUGGCUUUUGGAGGAAGAUAUUUAUGAUGGCAAAAUUAACAUUUCUCUUAAAAUAUAAACAGUUCUAUAACGGUAACAAACAAGAGAGACACAUUUGAAAAUAUUAGAACUUUUGUAGAAACAACAUAUGAAAGUUGAACUUUGUAAAGACAUAUUUGCAAUUCACUAAAUUUGCAAGGACUAAAUGCAUUUAACCCUUUAAUCAUUAAGGUGUUAUUUUAUGUGGUGCAAUAUAUUCUCAUGUGUCAAAUUCUAAUAGUUUUUGAGAAAGAAGAAUUUUGAAUUUGUAGCUUAUAUAGUUGAUU